UUAACUCUAAUUUGUAUGAAGUUCGAACGUUUGCCGCUAAGGGCGCUGUUCCAACUCCAUACAAAUUUAAGUUA
rnacentral:pre_miRNA from 1 species